rnacentral:rRNA from 1 species
GAUCCAGCUUGCUAGGAUGCUGACGAGCGGCGGACGGGUGAGUAAUGCAUAGGAAUCUGCCCGAUAGUGGGGGAUAACCUGGGGAAACCCAGGCUAAUACCGCAUACGUCCUACGGGAGAAAGGGGGCUCCGGCUCCCGCUAUGGGAUGAGCCUAUGUCGGAUUAGCUAGUUGGUGAGGUAACGGCUCACCAAGGCCACGAUCCGUAGCUGGUCUGAGAGGAUGAUCAGCCACAUCGGGACUGAGACACGGCCCGAACUCCUACGGGAGGCAGCAGUGGGGAAUAUUGGACAAUGGGGGAAACCCUGAUCCAGCCAUGCCGCGUGUGUGAAGAAGGCCCUCGGGUUGUAAAGCACUUUCAGCGAGGAAGAACGCCUAACGGUUAAUACCCGCUAGGAAAGACAUCACUCGCAGAAGAAGCACCGGCUAACUCCGUGCCAGCAGCCGCGGUAAUACGGAGGG